rnacentral:tRNA from 1 species
AGGCGAGCUCAGCUGGUUAGAGCACCACCUUGACAUGGUGGGGGUCGUUGGUUCGAGUCCAAUCGCGCCUACCA